CCCCUCCCCCCGCCUCCUCCUCCUCCUCCUCCUCCUUCUCGUCGGUCAGAGCUCGACCCUCCUCUCGCGCUGGGGCGCUGGUCUGUCCUCUCUCGAUGCCGCGAGAGACCAGGGGAUACGGAGCAGCCCGAGAAGAGCACUAGUAACAACCAUCACAGCCCCCUCCUCGCUCGACGCCCUCCCACUCCCCCGCCCCGCGCCGCCACCGACCAACCCCACCUCUCAUUUCUUUGAACGGCGUCGGCUGCAGCCGCUGCACCAGCCCCGUCUGGCCGCUGCGUAAAGGAGCCACCGCCGCCCGCGGCCCCCUCCCUCCCUCCCCGGGCGCGGGAGCAGCUCGGUGUCGAGCCAGCCGGCGGGCUGAGAAGAGGACGCGAGCUCGCCCCUCCGCUCCCGCGCACGUCCCGCCGCCCGCCGGAGCAGCCCGGGCGCCGGCGCCCUUCCUCUCCGAGGACGUGUGCCGAGCCGAGCGCCUGCCCCGAGGGAGGAAAAUGCUCGGGCUCCAUGGCUGCCAGUGAUGGAGCGGUCCCUGGGCUCCCGCUGCUGCCGCCACCGCCGCCGCCGCCGCACCCCGGCCGCGCUCCGCGAGGACCCGGCGUCUCUGUGCGCCCGCCCGCGCCUCGUUGCUGGGCUCACCGUACCGGGCGCCCCGCCGCCGCCGCCCCGCUCGCAGCCGCGCCGCCCGGGCCCCAGCCGCGGCCAGCCUUUCCUCCCGGAGCAGCCGUCGCGAGCCCAGGGGGUUUGAGAGGGGCCGCGGGCCGCGGGGGGAGGCCCGAGCGGGGCCGGCCGCGCCGGCAGGGGAGGUUGGAGCGACGCUGAGCUCAGGGCUCGCCGGCGGCCGCGGCGCCGGGGGUGGCGAGGGCCGGGCGACCGCUCGCUCCGCGCUGCCUCGGUGCAGGGCGAGCGGAGGGGCUUUGCAGCGGCCGCCGCCGCGGGAGGAGGGGGUUGAGCUGGCUCCGGAGUUGGCCAAAGAAGGUGGGCAUUUCUCGCUUCUCCUCGCCUCCCCCGCCCCCUCCUGGGCUCCCCUCCCUCCCGCCCCGCACCCCACGUGAAGCGGAAUAUAAAGGGGGGUGUGUGUGACUGGAGGGGAAAGUGAAUGGCGAAGGACUGAAGGGGUCCCCCUUCGGUUCUCCAGCCACCUGGUUCACCCAGUUCAUCCUCCCUUCCCGAAGCUAGCCCUCGAAGGCACGAGCAGCCGGCGCCUUCGGCAGAGGAGGAGGAGGAGGAGGAGGAGGAGGGAUAGCGUCGGGCGGAGCUUCAGGUCCUGUUCGCCUCUCCGGCUUCUCCAUACAAAGAUUACGGUGCAGAAGGAAAUUGCACUUGCCUCCUCCGCCCCCCGGUACCCAGCACAAUGCACCAGCCGCCGGAGUCCACCGCCGCGGCGGCCGCUGCUGCGGACAUUAGUGCUAGGAAGAUGGCGCACCCGGCAAUGUUCCCUCGAAGGGGCAGCGGUGGUAGCAGCGCCUCUGCUCUCAAUGCAGCAGGUACCGGCGUCAGUGGUGCUGCUCCAUCUUCUGAAGAUUUUCCUCCUCCUUCGCUGCUCCAGCCGCCGCCUCCUGCUGCAUCUUCCACGCAGGGACCACAGCCUCCGCCUCCACAAAGCCUGAACCUCCUCUCGCAGGCUCAGCUGCAGGGACAGCCUCUUGUGCCAGGCGGAACUCAGAUGAAAAAGAAAAGUGGCUUCCAGAUAACCAGCGUUACUCCGGCUCAGAUCUCUGCCAGCAUCAGCUCUAACAACAGCAUAGCAGAGGACACCGAGAGCUACGACGAUCUGGAUGAGUCGCACACGGAAGAUCUCUCUUCUUCCGAGAUCCUUGAUGUCUCCCUUUCCAGGGCUACUGACUUAGGUGAGCCUGAACGCAGUUCCUCAGAGGAGACUCUGAAUAACUUCCAGGAAGCUGAGACACCUGGGGCAGUCUCUCCUAACCAGCCCCACCUUCCUCAGCCUCAUUUGCCUCACCUUCCACAACAGAAUGUUGUGAUCAAUGGGAGUGCUCAUCCACACCACCUCCAUCACCACCAUCACAUUCAUCACGGGCACCACCUUCACCAUGGACACCACCAUUCAUCACAUGCUGCUGUGGCGGGUACAGCCAUUCCUGGAGGGCCACCCUCCAGCCCAGUGUCCAGGAAACUCUCUACAACUGGAAGUUCUGAAGGCGGCACGCCAGUCGCGCCUCCUUGUGCUGCUGUACCGUCGAGUGGCUUACCUGCAUCAGUGAUGACGAACAUCCGUACUCCAGGCAGCCUAGGUAUAAAUUCAGUGACUGGCACGAACGCAGUGAAUAAUGUUAACGUUGCUACCUCGGGUAGUUUCAGUCCCAGCGUGACGAACAGCGUGCAUGGUAAUGCUAAUAUGAGUACAAGCAGUAUCCCUAAUGCUGCUAGCUUAAGUGGCGGGCCUGGAGUGACCACUGGUGUUAAUGUGAAUGUCUUGAGUGGCAUGGGCAAUGGUACCGUUUCUUCCUCUCCUGUUGCUAACAGUGUCCUUAAUGCAGCUGCAGGUAUCACUGUGGGAGUGGUUUCCAGUCAGCAGCCGCAGCAACCACAGCAGCAGCAGCAGCAGCAGCAGCAACCAACAGUUAACACAUCAAGGUUCAGAGUCGUGAAGUUAGACUCUACUUCUGAACCCUUUAAAAAGGGUAGAUGGACUUGCACUGAAUUCUAUGAGAAAGAAAACGCUGCGCCGGCUACAGAAGGCGUGGCCAUCAACAAAGUGGUAGAGACUGUGAAGCAAACCCCCGCGGAAGUGUCGUCCUCGGAGAGGGAGAGCACAAGUGGGAGCUCCGUGAGCAGUAGUGUGAGCACACUGAGUCACUACACGGAGAGUGUGGGAAGUGGAGAGAUGGGAGCCCCUGCUGUGGUGGUGCAGCAACAGCAGCAGCAGCAGCAACAGCAACCACAGCCGCCACUACCAACUGCACCUCCAGGUCUUCAAGGUGUGGCCCUCCAGCAGCCGGAGUUCAGUAGCCCUGCUCCACAGAGUAUUGCGGCAGUUAGUAUACCACAGAGUAUUUCUCAGUCACAGAUGUCACAAGUACCAUUACAGCCUCAAGAAUUGAGCUUUCAGCCGAAGCAGGGUCUCCAGCCUGUCCCGCUGCCAGCCACGAUGAGCGCAGCAACCGGUAUCCAGCCUUCGCCUGUCAGCGUGGUCGGUGUCACGGCUGUGGGUCAGCAGCCUUCCCUUUCCAGUCUGGCUCAGCCCCAGCUGCCAUAUCCUCAGACAGCUCCUCCCGUACAAGCUCCUCUUCCAGGGGCCCCACCCCAUCAGUUACCGUAUGGGCAGCAGCAACCAAUGGUUCCUAUGCAGAUAGCCCCAGGCCAUGGCCAGCCCGUGACUCAAAAUCCUACUUCAGAGUACUUACAACAGCAGCAGCAGCAGCAGCCGCCGCCAAUAUUUCAAGCAGCAAUGUCCUCUGGACAGGCCAGUUCUGCAGGCACGGGGGCAGGACCAUCAGUGAUUCCUGUGGCUCAGCCACAAGGGAUCCAGCUGCCAGUGCAGCCCACAGCAGUACAAGCACAACCUGCAGGGACGUCCGGGCAGCCCAUUGGCCAGGCUCAAACAGCAGUGUCCACUGUACCAACUGGCGGUCAGAUUGCAAAUAUCGGUCAACAGGCGAACAUCGCCACUGCAGUACAGCAGCCUUCUCCCCAAGUUACACCUUCGGUUACUCAGCAAGGUGCUCCUCCAUCUUCACAAGUAGUCCUACCUGCUCCGACCGGGAUAAUUCAUCAGGGAGUCCAAACCAGUGCUUCAAGCCUUCCUCAACAGUUGGUCAUUACACCCCAGAGUACCUUGGUAACUGUGCCUCCUCAGCCACAGGGAGUAGAAGCUGUGGCUCAAGGGGUUGUUCCCCAGCAGUUACCCACAGGUAGUCCUCUGCCCUCUGCUAGCACUAUUUCUGUUACAAAUCAGGUUAGUUCAGCUGGUCCUCCUGGAAUGCCUUCUGUCCCAACAAACUUAGUUCCACCACAGAAUAUAGCACAACCCCCAGCCACCCAAAAUGGCAGUUUGGUUCAAAGUGUUAGUCAGUCUCCCCUGAUAGCCACUAACAUAAAUUUGCCUUUGGCACAACAGAUACCACUAAGUUCUACUCAGUUCUCUACACAAUCCUUAGCUCAGGCCAUUGGAAGCCAAAUGGAAGAUGCCAGGCGCGCAGCGGAGGCCUCCUUAGGCGGCUUACCUCAGACUAUCAGUGGUGACAGUGGGGGAAUGUCAGCUGUCUCAGAUGGGAGUAGCAGCAGCCUAGCAGCCUCUGCUUCUCUCUUCCCGUUGAAGGUGCUACCGCUGACAACACCCCUGGUGGAUGGCGAGGACGAGAGCUUUGGUAUGUUUCCACACUGGCUGCCAGGGCCAGGAGGAAGUGAAGGCAGUAGGCACUGCCUCCUUAAUGCUGAGAUAUAACCUUUGUUGGUUGUGUGGUAGAGAACAGGACAGCACAACCCUCGGUCCACUAACAGCUCUAUUCCAGUGCUUCUCUCCUACCAGAGGUGCAAGGAGUGACCCUAGAGCCACAGACACAGCCACGACCACGGAGAGCUUUUGACGUCAGGGCUCCACUUUCUCCACUGAAUCCUUGGAGACAGAAUACCCAGCUUCUGGAGAGAGUGGGAAAGGAUAAUAAACAAGUAUCUUGAUAAUGGGAGACCGGUUUAUUUGUUCUCUAAUUGCCCAGAUUUCUUUCAACUGGUAAAACAUCAUACCUCUUCAGCAAAAGGAAGUCCUCUAGCAGAGCCUCAUGGAUGAUGUCUGUCCCACGUGGCAGCCCCGCAGUGUGGAAGGCAGUGUGAACGGAUCCAUGCACUAUGUCUAGAAGACACAAGGAUGAGCCAGCCAGCUGAUCUUGUUACUUACAAACUUCUAAGAAUUACUUGGGUUGAUUUUUGGUCUGAAAAUGGAAAGGCUCAAAUAAUGAAGUAAUCUUUUCAUAUUGGAGUUUUACAUGGCCAUGAAAAUAUUUCUUAUUCUGAAGACUGAGAUAGAGGAAGCUUGAGAGUCGCCUUUCAAAGCAGCUCUGUAUCUGUCUCACUUCAGAGAUCUGUGGGACUGGAAAUCAUUUUAAUCAUGUAGGCAACCCCCACUUUACAAAGUAGCCUUCAAAAGCAUUACAGCCAGACUGAGGAGGCCUUGCAGCACCCCGUGCUCUGUCACCCAGUGCUAAAGCACUAAAUGAAGGGGGAGCCUAGGUCUGGAAGAGUUAGGACGGACUCCUGGCCCAUCUCUUGCUGGUUCUGAGCCUGAUUCUUACUGUAAUUCAUGAAAUGAUGACAGCUGUAGAGCUAUCCUGGAGACCCAGUGCGGGCCAGUCUGUUCAUAAGCAAUAAAUGCCUGUCAGGGUUUACUCUGCACGGAAGGCCUUCUGCCCCUCAAGUGACGCAGAGCAGAGGUAGUGAACAGUCAGGAUGAGCCUGUAGGUGUGAAUAGGUUUAAAGUAAUUGUCCAAAUUACCAAUUGGCAAUAGCUGUCACAAUGAUCUUUCUUUCUUUGGUUUUCUGGUAACUGGCCAGUGAAGGCUCUUAAGGAAAACUGUCACAGUCACCUGAUGCUGCCAGUUCCUUUUAAGCUGAACUAAGUUUUAAGAAGAGAAAUCAUAAAAUUAAUAAUAGAAGAACUAAAAUGUUAGCCUAUCAACAUUUAAGACUAUCAGCUAAGAGAUAACCUACUUUUAGUCUUUCUUGGCUAUAAGAACUAUUAUAAAUUGUUUUUCAAAAGUUUAAUGUUUAAAAGUAAAUACAAAAGAUAAUUUUAAACUGAAAAGUACCCCACAGAACACUGAAUUCCUGUAGAAUGAUACGGCUUUGUUGUCCUGACUUAAUAAGGUAGUUCCCAAGUACAUAUAAGAAACAAAAAGCAAAUUAUCUAAUACUUUAGAAGGGAUUCAGAACCAAAAGUGAGAUUUACCUAGAAAUCCCGUUGCGUUCUUUAAAACCACAGUACAAAUCACUUUAUGGCCUGAGUCCACUAGCCUUUGUCUCAGUACUGAAGACAACGUGAUUUAACCUGGGAAUCCCAAGCGUUACUGAGUUUCUGCUCUGUUCCUUAAGUAUGUGAAGGAAGUCUAAGUGCAUUUCCCUCACCUCACGCACCACGAGCACUGCAAAGUCGAACUUUCCGUGUAUCACUGUGAACUGUUUUGUUUGAAUUUUAAUUUUGAUGCAUUUUCAUUUUAGAAUUUUAAAGAACAAUUUCGUGUCACAAUAUGCAAUCCGAUAUCUUUUCCGUGUUUAUGAAUAUUAAUAUAAGUUACUUUUUUCCUAGAAUGAUUUAUUGUGUAAUAAUU